UGGGGAAUAUUGCACAAUGGGCGCAAGCCUGAUGCAGCCAUGCCGCGUGUGUGAAGAAGGCCUCGGGUUGUAAAGCACUUUCAGCGAGGAGGAAGGUGGUGAACUUAAUACGUUCAUCAAUUGACGUUACUCGCAGAAGAAGCACCGGCUAACUCCGUGCCGGCAGCCGCGGUAAUACGGAGGGUGCAAGCGUUAAUCGGAAUUACUGGGCGUAAAGCGCACGCAGGCGGUUUGUUAAGUCAGAUGUGAAAUCCCCGGGCUCAACCUGGGAACUGCAUUUGAAACUGGCAAGCUAGAGUCUCGUAGAGGGGGGUAGAAUUCCAGGUGUAGCGGUGAAAUGCGUAGAGAUCUGGAGGAAUACCGGUGGCGAAGGCGGCCCCCCUGGACGAAGACUGACGCUCAGGUGCGAAAAGGCGUGGGGGAGCAAACAGGAUUAGAUACCCCUGGUAGGUCCACGCUGUAAAACGAUGUCGA
rnacentral:rRNA from 1 species